rnacentral:rRNA from 1 species
UACAGAGGGGGCAAGCGUUGUUCGGAAUUACUGGGCGUAAAGGGCGCGUAGGCGGCCUGUUAAGUCAGACGUGAAAUCCCUCGGCUCAACCGGGGAACUGCGUCUGAUACUGGCGGGCUUGAAUUCGGGAGAGGGAUGUGGAAUUCCAGGUGUAGCGGUGAAAUGCGUAGAUAUCUGGAGGAACACCGGUGGCGAAGGCGGCAUCCUGGACCGACAUUGACGCUGAGGCGCGAAAGCUAGGGGAGCGAACAGG